CCAGAGCCGGACAGUAACGGAGUACAUUUACUUGAGUACAGUACUUAAGUACAAUUUUUAGGGAUCUGGGGUCUCAUUUAUAACCGUUGCGUACGCACAAAACGGGGCUGAAAUUGGCGUACGUGACUUUUCACGCCAAGUGUGUGAUCUAUAAAAAACCAACUUGACGGGAAAAUGUGCGCAGCCCUAAGCAAACUCUGACCCAUGCGUACGCAUGGUUUGGAGGAAAAGGAGAAUUGGCGACACAGACGGUGUGGUGGUGAACUGAAGUCAGACCGAAGAAUUGCAGAGUGAGAAGAACGAUUAUGUUUUAUCAUCGCCCUUCAUCAAUUUAAUUUCAACCCGUAUCAUGCGUUAAAUCCUAAUCAGAAUAAUUUAAGUCCACUGCGUUAUUUCUCAGUUAUAACUCCAGAAAUAUCUCCUUAGAAUAGAAAUAAAAAGAAAUUCUCUAUAUUUAAUCCCGUCACUCCAUACUGUCCACUGACGGCGCGACUGCAUGGAAUAAAGCAUCUGUCCAACAUGUGUCAAUAACAUAAUAUUUUUAUGUGACACUGUAAACACAUGAUCGAAUGUCAAUUAAAUCCCAAGUGUGAAAAACCAAGCCACACUCAUCACAAUCGUUGUCCGUUACUCUUGAUGCUUUUCAUGACAAAUCAGGCAUUAAAAAGGGGUUAUGUUCAAGAACAUUUUACGUGGGUUUGGAUAAUCAGUUUGUAAUUACCCACGUAAAAUGUUCUUGAACAUAACCCCUUUUUAAUGCCUGAUUUGUCAUGAAAAGCAUCAAGAGUAACGGACAACGAUUGUGAUGAGUGUGGCUUGGUUUUUCACACUUGGGAUUUAAUUGACAUUCGAUCAUGUGUUUACAGUGUCACAUAAAAAUAUUAUGCUAUUGACACAUGUUGGACAGAUGCUUUAUUCCAUGCAGUCGCGCCGUCAGUGGACAGUAUGGAUUGACGGGAUUAAAUAUAGGGAAUUUCUUUUUAUUUAUAUUCUAAGGAGAUAUUUCUGGAGUUAUAACUGAGAAAUAACGCAGUGGACUUAAAUUAUUCUGAUUAGGAUUUAACGCAUGAUACGGGUUGA
rnacentral:lncRNA from 1 species